GCCCUAAUAGUAUAAUCAUUACCUUGGUCUUGUAAACCAAAAAUGAAGGCUUACCACCUCCUUAGGGC
rnacentral:tRNA from 1 species